rnacentral:tRNA from 1 species
AUGUGGCUAGCUCAGUUGGUAGAGCAUUUUACUAUAGAUUAGAGGAUCCCAGGUUCAAUCUCCGGCCCGGCCCUAUA